GUGUUCAAAAAAGUUACUCGAUAACAUUUCUAUUUUCUUGAAUUUUUUGAGACUUGUUUUGUGGCUUAAAUAUAAGCAGUCCUAGAAAAUGUGCCAUGUGCUCUUGAGAAGAAUGUAUUUUGUUGCUGUUGGGUGGAAUGUUCUGUAUAUGUCUGUUACGUCCAUUUGGUCUAUAUUAUUGUUCAAAUCCAAUGUUUCAAUAUAUUUAAUUCUCUGUCUGGAUGAUCUAUCAAUCAUUGUUGAGAAUGGGGUAUUAAAGCUCUCAACUAAUAUUAUAUUGCUGUUUAUGUCUCCUUUUAGUUCUCUUAGUAUUUGCUUUAUAUGUUUAGGAAUUCUGAUGUUGGGUACAUAAAUAUUUACAAUUGUUAUAUCUUCUUGAUAAAUUGACCCCUUUAUCAUUAUAUAAUGACCUUCUUUGUCUCUUUGGACCAUUUUUAGCUUAAAAUCUAUUUUCGUUGAUAUAAGUAUAGCUACCUCUGCUUUCUUUUGGUUACCAUUUGUUUGAAAUAUCUUUUUCCAUCCCUUCACUGUCAGUCUGUGUGUGUCCUUAAAGCUAAAGUUAGUGUCUGCAGCCAGCAUAUCAUUGGAUCCUGUUUUUUUAAUCUCUUCAGCCAUUUUAUGUCUUUUAAUUGGAGAAUUUAAUCCAUUUAUGUUUAAAAUAAUUAUUGAUAUGUAAGGGCUUACUAUUGCCAUUUUGUUGUUUUCUGACUUUUGUAUAUGCUUUUUUCCUUGCUUCCUCUUUUGCUUCCUCCCUCUGUGAUUUGAUGAAUUUUUGUGGUGGUACACUUUGACUCCUUUAUCACAAUCUUUUGCAUAUCUACUACAGGUUCCUUUGUGGUUACUAUGAGGCUUACAUAAAAUAUCUUAUAUUUAAAACAUCCUAUUUGAAGCUGCUAACAACUUAGUUUCAAUAGCAUAAAAAAUUUUAUACUUCUCCCUCCACCACAUUUUAGGUUAUUGAUGUUACAAUUUACAUCUUUUUUUAUAUUGGUUAUCCAAUAACAAAUUAUUGUGGUUGUGGUUAUUUUUAACACAUUGGUUUUUUAACUUUUAGACUACAAUUGUUAAGUAAAUUACACACCACCGUUACAAUAUUAGAGAAUUUGACUUUGACUAUAUAUUUACAUUAAUAGUGAGUUUUACACAUUCAUGUUUUUCUGAUGUUAAUUAGCAUUCUUUUAUUUCAGCUUGAAGAACACUCGUUAGCAUUUCUUAUAAGGCAGGUCUAAUGGUGAUAAACUCCUUCAACUUUUGUUUGUUGAAGGUGAUAAACUCCUUCAAUUUUUAUUUCAUUUCUGAAGGACAGCUUUGCUGGGUUCAGCAUUAUUAGUUGACAGGUUUUUUUCUUCCAAUGUUUUGACUGUAUCAUCCCACUAUUUUCUUUUGGAAAGUUUCUGUUGAGGAACAUGCUUAUCAUCUUAUGGGGGGGCUCCCCUGUGUGUGAUAAGUUGCUUUUCUCUGGCUGCUUUAAAAAUUCUCUCUUUAUCUUUGACUUUUGACAAUUUAAUUACAAUAUGUCUCAGGGUAGUCAUAUUUUAAAAAUGGAGAGGAAUCUGUCUUUCUACGCUGAUCAUGCUCUUAGCAAAGACUGCCAAGGAAAGUUAACUAAGACUAGUAUCAUUUUUUGGAAGCCUUGAGUCCACAUAAAAAAGAACUCAGUGAAAAAGAGAAAUACAUCCAGAAAAUGUGCCAUAUUUUACUUUUAUUUCAGUAACACAAUUAUUACAUGUUCACAGUAGAAAAAUACAAAAAUACAGAUAAUAGAAAAAGAAAAACAUGUUUUGUUUUAUUUCCUUCUAGAUCAAAAUUUGCCACAUCUUUAUUAAGGGUGAGCUAAAUCAGCUCCUGUUAUUAAAUGUUAUCUUUUCUAUCACUUCCUCUGCACAGUGAAAGUAGCACAACAAAAUCCACAAUACUCCUAGAAUUUUACUUUUAUGCAGCUUGGACUAGGAAAUUAGUGUUGGGGGUACAUCGACUCUUUCUCGCAUUCCAAAAAAUUAACAGCUUUAUUGAGGUAGAAUUGACAUAAAAUGAACUGCACAUAUUUAAAGUGACAAUUUGACAGGUUUUGACUCAUGUAUACACCUGUGACCCUGUCACCACAACCAAGAUAAUGAACAUAUCUAUCACCUCCUAAAGUUGUUUCUUCAUUUCCCUUCAUAGUUCCUUCCUUCCGUCUCUCCCUGAUCGUCCCCGUCCCCAGGUACUUUGAGUUUCCUACAUUAUAGAUUAGCUCACAUUGUCUAGAAUUUUAUAUAAAUUGAACUAUAUAGUUUGGGCCCUGUAUCUAUAUCAGUUAGGAUUCAAACAAAAAGCAGAACCAGUGGAGAUGGGGGUGGAAACACACACACACACACACACACAUUUUAAAGAUAUUUGUUAAAGGGAAUUGCUUUAUGCAAUUGUGUGGGCUGAUGAAGCAGUGUCUUUAAGGCUAUGUCUCCACAACUGAUGAUGGAGCUUGAAGUCCACAGGGCAGGAAAUCAGGAAGGGAAGAUCACAAGCAGGCUGGAACCAAAAAGCAUGGGCUGAAACUCACAAGCAUGACCUAGAACCCCAGGACUAUGAGCUGGAACCCUACAAAGACAGAUUGAAACUCUUUUCCCUUCUUGUUGCCUCUGAUCUUGGUAAUGAAGGUAUCCUGCAGAAGUCAGGGCCCUUUGUCUGAAGCCAAACACAUACCUUGCCCCAAAGUCAGGAAAACCGGAGGAUCUGGGGAAGGUAGAGGAAUUACAGGCCCAGAUGCUGCUUCACACCAACACAGAGUCAGCAGAUCAGCAAUAAUGUGUGUCAGCUACAAAAUGGCUGCUGCCUCCCUGUAACCCUCCAAAAUUUAAAAAUAAUCUCCCUGGUGGCCCACCCUAACCAGAAACAUGCAGGAAAGAAAAAUUCUUGGACAUAUAGUUCAGACUAGCCAAGUUAACACAUUACAAAAGCUGUUGCAUGCUCUUUUUUGUCUGGCUUCUUUUACUUGGCAUAAUUAUUUUGAGAUUCAUCCAUGCUGUUAUAUGUAUUAAUGGUUUAUUCUUUUUUACUUCAUUCCAUUUUAUGAAUAUUAGCAUUUCAUUGUAUAAAUAUGCCAUAAUUUGUAUAACAAUUAUCUCUGUUGAUGAAUAUUUGGAUUGUUUCCAGUUUGGGGCUAUUAUAAAUAAAGAUGCUAUGACCAUGCACAUACAAAUCUUUCAUUUCUCUAAGGUAAAUAUAUAGAGUAAAAUAUGACCUAGAUCAUAUGAUAGGUAUAUAUUUAGCUUUUUAAGAACUACCAUAUUUAAUUUUAGACAUUAUAAUAGGAGUAUAGUGUUAUUUCGAUUUUAAUUUGCAUUUCCCAGAUGACAAAUAAUGUUCAUUGUCUUUUUGUGUGCUUAUUUACCAUCUGCUUAUUUUCCUUGGUGAAGAAUCUUUUCAAAUAAUUUGUCCAUUUUGGACAAAUUGUUUGUUAUAUUAUUGAGUUUUAAGCGUUCUUUAUAUAUUCUGAAUACAAGUCUUUUAUCAGUACUUGUGAUUUAGAAAUAUUUUUUCCCAAUCCGUGGUCUGUUUUUUUUUUU
ensembl:lncRNA